GGGUUGUGAGGUUAAGCGACUAAGCGUACACGGUGGAUGCCCUGGCAGUCAGAGGCGAUGAAGGACGUGCUAAUCUGCGAUAAGCGCCGGUAAGGUGAUAUGAACCGUUAUAACCGGCGAUUUCCGAAUGGGGAAACCCAGUGUGACUCGUCACACUAUCAUUAACUGAAUCCAUAGGUUAAUGAGGCGAACCGGGGGAACUGAAACAUCUAAGUACCCCGAGGAAAAGAAAUCAACCGAGAUUCCCCCAGUAGCGGCGAGCGAACGGGGAGGAGCCCAGAGCCUGAAUCAGCAUGUGUGUUAGUGGAAGCGUCUGGAAAGGCGCGCGAUACAGGGUGACAGCCCCGUACACAAAAGCGCAUGUGCUGUGAGCUCGAUGAGUAGGGCGGGACACGUGGUAUCCUGUCUGAAUAUGGGGGGACCAUCCUCCAAGGCUAAAUACUCCUGACUGACCGAUAGUGAACCAGUACCGUGAGGGAAAGGCGAAAAGAACCCCGGCGAGGGGAGUGAAAAAGAACCUGAAACCGUGUACGUACAAGCAGUGGGAGCCCCACCACUAAGCCAGUGGUGAACUCCACAUACGCAUCCUUUGCUGAGGAUACGGUUAACGGAGCGAAAGCGACGUUCAACCUCAAAAGAAGCAGAGGGGGCUUAGUGGUGGGGUGACUGCGUACCUUUUGUAUAAUGGGUCAGCGACUUAUAUUCUGUAGCAAGGUUAACCGAAUAGGGGAGCCGGAGGGAAACCGAGUCUUAACCGGGCGUUAAGUUGCAGGGUAUAGACCCGAAACCCGGUGAUCUAGCCAUGGGCAGGUUGAAGGUUGGGUAACACUAACUGGAGGACCGAACCGACUAAUGUUGAAAAAUUAGCGGAUGACCUGUGGCUGGGGGUGAAAGGCCAAUCAAACCGGGAGAUAGCUGGUUCUCCCCGAAAGCUAUUUAGGUAGCGCCUCGUGAAUUCAUCUCCGGGGGUAGAGCACUGUUUCGGCUAGGGGGCCAUCCCGGCUUACCAACCCGAUGCAAACUGCGAAUACCGGAGAAUGUUAUCACGGGAGACACACGGCGGGUGCUAACGUCCGUCGUGAAGAGGGAAACAACCCAGACCGCCAGCUAAGGUCCCAAAGUCAUGGUUAAGUGGGAAACGAUGUGGGAAGGCCCAGACAGCCAGGAUGUUGGCUUAGAAGCAGCCAUCAUUUAAAGAAAGCGUAAUAGCUCACUGGUCGAGUCGGCCUGCGCGGAAGAUGUAACGGGGCUAAACCAUGCACCGAAGCUGCGGCAGCGACACUAUGUGUUGUUGGGUAGGGGAGCGUUCUGUAAGCCUGUGAAGGUGGCCUGUGAGGGUUGCUGGAGGUAUCAGAAGUGCGAAUGCUGACAUAAGUAACGAUAAAGCGGGUGAAAAGCCCGCUCGCCGGAAGACCAAGGGUUCCUGUCCAACGUUAAUCGGGGCAGGGUGAGUCGACCCCUAAGGCGAGGCCGAAAGGCGUAGUCGAUGGGAAACGGGUUAAUAUUCCCGUACUUGGUGUUACUGCGAAGGGGGGACGGAGAAGGCUAUGUUGGCCGGGCGACGGUUGUCCCGGUUUAAGCGUGUAGGCUGGUUUUCCAGGCAAAUCCGGAAAAUCAAGGCUGAGGCGUGAUGACGAGGCACUACGGUGCUGAAGCAACAAAUGCCCUGCUUCCAGGAAAAGCCUCUAAGCAUCAGGUAACAUCAAAUCGUACCCCAAACCGACACAGGUGGUCAGGUAGAGAAUACCAAGGCGCUUGAGAGAACUCGGGUGAAGGAACUAGGCAAAAUGGUGCCGUAACUUCGGGAGAAGGCACGCUGACAUGUAGGUGAAGUGAUUUACUCAUGGAGCUGAAGUCAGUCGAAGAUACCAGCUGGCUGCAACUGUUUAUUAAAAACACAGCACUGUGCAAACACGAAAGUGGACGUAUACGGUGUGACGCCUGCCCGGUGCCGGAAGGUUAAUUGAUGGGGUCAGCGCAAGCGAAGCUCCUGAUCGAAGCCCCGGUAAACGGCGGCCGUAACUAUAACGGUCCUAAGGUAGCGAAAUUCCUUGUCGGGUAAGUUCCGACCUGCACGAAUGGCGUAAUGAUGGCCAGGCUGUCUCCACCCGAGACUCAGUGAAAUUGAACUCGCUGUGAAGAUGCAGUGUACCCGCGGCAAGACGGAAAGACCCCGUGAACCUUUACUAUAGCUUGACACUGAACAUUGAGCCUUGAUGUGUAGGAUAGGUGGGAGGCUUUGAAGUGUGGACGCCAGUCUGCAUGGAGCCGACCUUGAAAUACCACCCUUUAAUGUUUGAUGUUCUAACGUGGACCCGUAAUCCGGGUUGCGGACAGUGUCUGGUGGGUAGUUUGACUGGGGCGGUCUCCUCCUAAAGAGUAACGGAGGAGCACGAAGGUUGGCUAAUCCUGGUCGGACAUCAGGAGGUUAGUGCAAUGGCAUAAGCCAGCUUGACUGCGAGCGUGACGGCGCGAGCAGGUGCGAAAGCAGGUCAUAGUGAUCCGGUGGUUCUGAAUGGAAGGGCCAUCGCUCAACGGAUAAAAGGUACUCCGGGGAUAACAGGCUGAUACCGCCCAAGAGUUCAUAUCGACGGCGGUGUUUGGCACCUCGAUGUCGGCUCAUCACAUCCUGGGGCUGAAGUAGGUCCCAAGGGUAUGGCUGUUCGCCAUUUAAAGUGGUACGCGAGCUGGGUUUAGAACGUCGUGAGACAGUUCGGUCCCUAUCUGCCGUGGGCGCUGGAGAACUGAGGGGGGCUGCUCCUAGUACGAGAGGACCGGAGUGGACGCAUCACUGGUGUUCGGGUUGUCAUGCCAAUGGCACUGCCCGGUAGCUAAAUGCGGAAGAGAUAAGUGCUGAAAGCAUCUAAGCACGAAACUUGCCCCGAGAUGAGUUCUCCCUGAGACUUAAAGUCUCCUGAAGGAACGUUGAAGACGACGACGUUGAUAGGCCGGGUGUGUAAGCGCAGCGAUGCGUUGAGCUAACCGGUACUAAUGAACCGUGAGGCUUAACCUUACAACGCCGAAG
rnacentral:rRNA from 1 species